rnacentral:rRNA from 1 species
CGGCGGACGGGUGAGUAACACGUGGGUAACCUACCUAUAAGACUGGGACAACUUCGGGAAACCGGAGCUAAUACCGGAUAAGAUAUCGAACCGCAUGGUUCGAUAGUGAAAGAUGGUUUUGCUAUCACUUAUAGAUGGACCCGCGCCGUAUUAGCUAGUUGGUGAGGUAACGGCUCACCAAGGCAACGAUACGUAGCCGACCUGAGAGGGUGAUCGGCCACACUGGAACUGAGACACGGUCCAGACUCCUACGGGAGGCAGCAGCC